UUCUGUCUCAAUGAUCUAGAAGAUUGCCUAACUUAUUUUCUUCAAGGAUGUAGAUGUGGCCUGUGUCACAUGGCUCUCAUUGCCUCAUUUCCUGCCACUUCAGACUGUGUCUAUUCUAGGAAGGCUGAGACGUGAUAAGAAGUUUCAGUGGUUCUGAGGUACAGUACUUAAGAUACCCCUGUGAAGGCUGAGAUUGAUAUUUGAAAUUUGCAACUGAUCUUGGAGGCUGGUACAGCAAUCAUGGCUUGCCUCUCUAAUAAACUACCAGUACCCAAGCUCUUAGUUUAAGCUGUGCUUUCAAGGGAGCUCAAACCAAGACACAAAGCUAGAUAUGUUCAUGUGUGGAUGCAAUGGAACUGAGGACACCAGGUUCAUGCCACCUGGAGCAUGAGGCUGACAAAUGGAGAAGCACUGAGUCAAAUGAAUCUUUGAGAAAUGGAGCUGGAAGAAAACUGGGGUAAACCUGUCUCUGAAAGAACACUACCUUUGGAUAUCCAGCAGUAGGACCCAAUAUUUUUUCUUGUUUAAUCUCAUUUGCGUUACUUGCAGCCCAAGGCUCUUAAUGAGGAAAAGGGUCUACCUUGUCCUCUGAAAGUAGCCUCAGUCUCUCCACUCUUCCCUAUUACAAGGGUCAUCUCUUUAAUUCAUAUCCAAUUACUGAUGACCUCCUAACUGAUCUACAUCCUCUCAUUCUCUCCUCUUUCUUAUUCACCUUUCAUACUGUUGCCAGGUGACUUUUCCUAAAAGACAACUUUUGUAAUUUAACUCUACUUCAUAAAAUUUCCAUAAUGGCUUCUUUUUGCUUUUAGUCCAAAUUCCUCAGACAUGUUUUCAAGACUUUUCAUAAUUGAAUUUCUUGUACAUACCCAAGUUGACUUCUCUGUGUUCCCAAAUAUACAACUGACAGUCUUUCCUCCUGAUGCUCUUUCAAAUAAGAAAUGUUUCCUCUAUGUAAAUUCAGUAUAUGUUUUUAGCCUUUAUUCAAGUUCUAGCUUCUUCAUAAACUUCUCCUGAAUAGAGUCAGCCUAUAUCCAUUCAAACAGUCUUUAUUAGGUGCACACUAUGUGCCAGGUACUUAACAGGGCAGUGGAACUAUGAAGACAGAUAGUCAUAGUCCCUCUUGCCUCUGGGAGCAGGCUGUUGAAUGCAAUGCUUUUUAAAGUUUUAAGUAAUGUGCUCAUGCAAAAUCUUAUAGAUAUAAAUUUGAAUUUACAGAGUUUAACUACCAAGCUAGUGAGACUUAAUGUUUCAAUUAAUAAAAAGUUGGAAAUCAAGGUGUAUAGAUAAGUAGUCUUAUAUUUAGCCUCAACAUGCAAUUUAUGUCAUAUUUUAUUA